UGGGUUCACUUGGUUCCGUUAGCUGACUGAAUGAUACUAAGUUCUGAAUUUUGUAACUGAGUUCUACUGAUCAUAGCACGAUUGAAAUUAUCUUAAUACUGACUCGGCUCUAGACACACAACUAUAUUUUUUGGGUACAAGUACCCCCAGGACUCGAUAUAAGGAAACUCACAAAGCAUGACUUCUUGAAUUCACGACUAACAUCAACAUCAUAGUAUGCAUUCAAGUAUACAUAAUCGAGGACUUCAUACUAACAUAUAACAAUUCAUUCAACAAGGGAUGCACA
rnacentral:lncRNA from 1 species